rnacentral:ncRNA from 1 species
AUAAAAUCAAUGAAGAGAAGAGUAAGAUCGCAGCCCUGAACUAAAGAGAAACCAACAAUUGGUGAGAGUUGGUGUUUAAGAAGCUUUCUGAAAAUCAUCUCUGAGAUGCAAGACUGAAAUGAGUAAGUUUUGACGGGUUUUCCGCCGUUAUAACGGAAUGCGUAUGUUCGUACGCUGAUGGAGAGCCGCAGCCUUUUUACGUUGCUGCGGAAUUAGGGUGGUAUCGCGAGUACAAGCUCGUCCCUGCA